CUGAUAUGAAGCAAGAGUCUGAUUGGGAAUAUAGGCAAGCAAAAGCUACCAGAGCUGAGAAAUGGAGAGGGUCCUGAUGUUUUUAUUUGACACACUGAGUCCAGCUGUACCUGAAACUCUUCAUCCAAGGCCAUUAAAGCUAAGUUCUGUGAAGGAAAACAAAGAGACUAAAGAAACAGACUCUUAAGGAGCUCACAUAAUGAAUGGCUGUCCUUGCUGCCGAAAGCAUCACACCUGAUUGAAAGGCCCACGAACUCUGCUCCUGCCCUGCCAGCCCGGGAGCUGAGAUUGAUGUGCCAAGUGGGAACACGAACCCUGGGCUUCAUGAGCAGUCUGAGGCAGCCAACUCCAUGGACGAAUGGAAAAACUGGGCACUUUGGCAUCAGUCCUAUCCCAAAGACUUUAAAACCAGCCCUCAGACCACAUUACCAAGUCAGAAAAGAAAGCAGGAGACUGCAAUAGAGCCCAGUCAUCUGUCCUGAUUGCAAUCAGGUGAAUUGAAAU